rnacentral:rRNA from 1 species
AUGCGCAAGGGCCUUGCCUCCACGGCCCUCCUCGUCCCAGGGAUGAUUUGGAAGCACCGCAACGAUUGUGUCUUCAACCGAGGACGGCCCUCAGCGAAUGACCUGCUCAUGAAGAUCAAGGAUGAGGCCGCCCUCUGGGCCAGAGCCGGCGCUCUAGGGCUUCGCGCCAUCGUACCACAAACUUGGGACGUUCACUGA